UACGUAGGGUGCGAGCGUUGUCCGGAAUUAUUGGGCGUAAAGGGCUCGUAGGCGGUCUGUUGCGUCAGGAGUGAAAACUCGGGGCUUAACCCCGAGCCUGCUUCUGAUACGGGCAGACUAGAGGUAUGCAGGGGAGAACGGAAUUCCUGGUGUAGCGGUGAAAUGCGCAGACAUCAGGAGGAACACCGGUGGCGAAGGCGGGUCUCUGGGCCGAUACUGACGCUGAGGAGCGAAAGCGUGGGGAGCGAACAGG
rnacentral:rRNA from 1 species